rnacentral:rRNA from 1 species
AUUGAACGCUGGCGGCAGGCCUAACACAUGCAAGUCGCGCGAGCGGUGGACGGGUGAGUAAUGUAUGGGGCAUGACCGAUAGAGGGGGAUAACUACUGGAAACGGUAGCUAAUACCGCAUACUAUCGGAUAACCCAUAUGGGAUUAGCUAGUAGGUGCGGUAAUGGCUCACCUAGGCGACGAUCCCUAGCUGGUCUGAGAGGAUGAUCAGCCACAGCAGGACUGAGACACGGCCCAGACGCCUACGGAGGCAGCAGUGGGGAAUAUUGCACAAUGGGCGCAGGCCUGAUGCAGCCAUGCCGCGUGUAUGAAGAAGGCCCUAGGGUUGUAAAGUACUUUCAGUCGGGAGGCGUUACCGACAGAAGAAGCACCGGCUAACUCCGUGCCAGCAGCCGCGGUAAUUC